CCCUUAGAUGUUCUGGGCCACACGCGCGCUACACUGAUGCAUUCAACGAGCCUAGCCUUGACCGAGAGGUCCGGGUAAUCUUUGAAACUGCAUCGUGAUGGGGCUAGAUUAUUGCAAUUAUUAAUCUUCAACGAGGAAUGCCUAGUAAGCGUGAUUCAUCAAAUCGCGUUGAUUACGUCCCUGCCCUUUGUACACACCGCCCGUCGCUCCUACCGAUUGAGUGUGUUGGUGAGGAGUUUGGAUUGGCCUCGGAAGGUGGUUCGCCACCGUCCGUAGCUGAGAAGUUCUCCAAACCGCCCCACUUAGAGGAAGGAGAAGUCGUAACA
rnacentral:rRNA from 1 species